CCUACGGGGGCUGCAGUGGGGAAUAUUGGACAAUGGGCGAAAGCCUGAUCCAGCCAUGCCGCGUGUGUGAAGAAGGCCUUCGGGUUGUAAAGCACUUUCAGUGGGGAAGAAAGCCUUGGGGCUAAUACCCUCGAGGAAGGACAUCACCCACAGAAGAAGCACCGGCUAACUCCGUGCCAGCAGCCGCGGUAAUACGGAGGGUGCGAGCGUUAAUCGGAAUUACUGGGCGUAAAGCGCGCGUAGGCGGUCUGAUAAGCCGGUUGUGAAAGCCCCGGGCUCAACCUGGGAACGGCAUCCGGAACUGUCAGGCUAGAGUGCAGGAGAGGAAGGUAGAAUUCCCGGUGUAGCAGUGAAAUGCGUAGAGAUCGGGAGGAAUACCAGUGGCGAAGGCGGCCUUCUGGACUGACACUGACGCUGAGGUGCGAAAGCGUGGGUAGCAAACAGGAUUAGCUACCCUAGUAGUC
rnacentral:rRNA from 1 species